rnacentral:rRNA from 1 species
UACGAAGGGUGCAAGCGUUAAUCGGAAUUACUGGGCGUAAAGGGUGCGUAGGCGGUUUGUUAAGUCUGUCGUGAAAUCCCCGGGCUCAACCUGGGAAUGGCGAUGGAUACUGGCGAGCUAGAGUGUGGCAGAGGAUGGUGGAAUUCCCGGUGUAGCGGUGAAAUGCGUAGAGAUCGGGAGGAACAUCAGUGGCGAAGGCGGGCAUCUGGGACAAUACUGACGCUGAAGCGCGAAAGCGUGGGGAGCAAACAGG